rnacentral:rRNA from 1 species
UACGUAGGGUGCAAGCGUUGUCCGGAAUUAUUGGGCGUAAAGAGCUCGUAGGCGGUUUGUCGCGUCGAAUGUGAAAACCCGGGGCUCAACUCCGGGCCUGCAUUCGAUACGGGCAGACUAGAGUUCGGUAGGGGAGUCUGGAAUUCUGGUGUAGCGGUGAAAUGCGCAGAUAUCAGGAGGAACACCGGUGGCGAAGGCGGGACUCUGGGCCGAUACUGACGCUGAGGAGCGAAAGCGUGGGGAGCAAACAGGAU